rnacentral:tRNA from 1 species
GCCUGGGUGGCUCAGUCAGUAAAGCUUCUGACUUUGGCUCAGGUCAUGAUCUUGCGGUUCGUGAGUUCGAGCCUCGCACCGGACU